rnacentral:rRNA from 1 species
CGCCGACGACCGGCGCACGGGUGCGUAACGCGUAUACAAUCUACCUUUUGCUACGGGAUAGCCCAGAGAAAUUUGGAUUAAUACCGCAUAGUAUAAAGCCUUGGCAUCAAGGCUUUAUUAAAGGAUACGGCAGAAGAUGAGUAUGCGUUCUAUUAGCUAGAUGGUAAGGUAACGGCUUACCAUGGCUACGAUAGAUAGGGGCCCUGAGAGGGGGAUCCCCCACACUGGUACUGAGACACGGACCAGACUCC